AGGACUAACGCUGGCGGCGUGCCUAACACAUGCAAGUCGAACGAGAGUAGCAAUACUCUAGUGGCAGACGGGUGAGUAACACGUGGUCAACCUACCUUUAAGUGGGGGAUAACUAGCCGAAAGGUUAGCUAAUACCGCAUACGAUCUUCGCGUGGCAUCACAUGAAGAUGAAAGGAGCAAUCCGCUGAAAGACGGGACCGCGUCCCAUUAGCCAGUUGGUGGGGUAACGGCCUACCAAAGCAACGAUGGGUAGCUGGCUUGAGAGAGCGACCAGCCACACUGGGACUGAGACACGGCCCAGACUCCUACGGGAGGCAGCAGUGAGGAAUUUUCCGCAAUGGGCGAAAGCCUGACGGAGCGACGCCGCGUGUGGGAUGAAGGCCUUCGGGUCGUAAACCACUGUCGAAGGGGAAGAUAUUGACGGUACCUUGGAGGAAGCCCGGCUAACUACGUGCCAGCAGCCGC
rnacentral:rRNA from 1 species